UACGGAGGGGGCGAGCGUUGUCCGAAGUUACUGGGCGUAAAGCGCGCGUAGGCGGGUUGCCAAGUCCGCUGUGAAAGCCCGGAGCUCAACUCCGGAGGGUCGGUGGAGACUGGCAGUCUUGAAGGUGCUAGGGGGGAGAUGGAAUUACCGGUGUAGCGGUGAAAUGCGUAGAUAUCGGUAGGAACACCAGUGGCGAAGGCGGUCUCCUGGGGCAUUCUUGACGCUGAUGCGCGAAAGCUGGGGGGAGCGAACGGG
rnacentral:rRNA from 1 species